GCACCCAUAGUUCAAUGGAUAGAACGUAUGCCUCCGGAGCAUGAAAUUCGAGUUCGAAUCUCGGUGGGUGCGCUA
rnacentral:tRNA from 1 species